rnacentral:rRNA from 1 species
CACGUAGGGGGCAAGCGUUGUCCGGAUUUAUUGGGCGUAAAGAGCUCGUAGGCGGCUUAGUAAGUCGGGUGUGAAACCUCCAGGCUCAACCUGGAGACGCCACCCGAUACUGCUGUGGCUAGAGUCCGGUAGGGGAGCGUGGAAUUCCUGGUGUAGCGGUGAAAUGCGCAGAUAUCAGGAGGAACACCAAUGGCGAAGGCAGCUCGCUGGAACGGUACUGACGCUGAGGCGCGAAAGCGUGGGAGCGAACAGG